GAUGAACGCUAGCGGCAGGCCUAAUACAUGCAAGUCGAACGGUGUCUUCGGACAUAGUGGCGCACGGGUGCGUAACACGUAUGCAACCUACCUUACAUUGGGGGAUAGCCUCUCGAAAGGGAGAUUAAUACCGCAUAAGACAGUAACUAGGCAUCUAGUAGCUGUUAAAGAUUUAUCGAUGUAAGCUGGGCAUGUGUCCAAUUAGCUCGUUGGUGAGGUAACGGCUCACCAAGGCAAUGAUUGGUAGGGGAACUGAGAGGUCAAUCCCCCACACUGGCACUGAGAUACGGGCCAGACUCCUACGGGAGGCAGCAGUAGGGAAUAUUGGGCAAUGGACGCAAGUCUGACCCAGCCAUGCCGCGUGCAGGAUGAAGGCGUUAUGCGUUGUAAACUGCUUUUAUACAGGAAGAAACGACUCUUGCGAGAGGCAUUGACGGUACUGUAUGAAUAAGCACCGGCUAACUCCGUGCCAGCAGCCGCAGUAAAAC
rnacentral:rRNA from 1 species